rnacentral:rRNA from 1 species
AGCAGCCGCGGUAAUUCCAGCUCCAAUAGCGUAUAUUAAAGUUGUUGCAGUUAAAAAGCUCGUAGUUGAAUUUCGAGAUCAAUUUGUCGGUCGUGCCUCGGUACGUACUGGCAUUAUUGAUUUCUCCCUUCUGAAGAACCGCGAUGUCAUUAAUUUGGUGUCGUGGGGAAUCAGGACUGUUACUUUGAAAAAAUUAGAGUGUUUAAAGCAGGCGCACGCUUGAAUACAUUAGCAUGGAAUAAUGAAAUAGGACGUUUGAUUCUAUUUUGUUGGUUUCUAGGAUCGACAUAAUGAUUAAUAGGGAUAGUUGGGGGCAUUAGUAUUCAAUUGUCAGAGGUGAAAUUCUUGGAUUUAUUGAAGACUAGCUACUGCGAAAGCAUUUGCCAAGGAUGUUUUCAUUAAUCAAGAACGAAAGUUAGGGGAUCGAAGACGAUCAGAUACCGUCGUAGCCUUA